rnacentral:rRNA from 1 species
UACGUAGGGUGCGAGCGUUGUCCGGAAUUAUUGGGCGUAAAGAGCUCGUAGGCGGUUUGUCGCGUCGACUGUGAAAACUGGGGGCUUAACUCUCAGCUUGCAGUUGAUACGGGCAGACUUGAGUUCGGUAGGGGAGACUGGAAUUCCUGGUGUAGCGGUGAAAUGCGCAGAUAUCAGGAGGAACACCGGUGGCGAAGGCGGAUCUCUGGGCCAUUACUGACGCUGAGGAGCGAAAGCGUGGGGAGCGAACAGG